GCAGUGCCAUAUACAUCACAAUAUUCAAUCCUAAAUACAAGUAGAGAUGUCAACGGGUCGGAUUCAUGGCAGAUUUUCAAAAAUUCGAAUCCGAACCCGACUCCAAACCCGAGACCCGAAUCCGAACCAGAACCCGAUGGAUUUUAAAAACCAUAUCCAAAUCCGAACUCGACCAAAAAUCCGAAACCCGAACCCGAACCUAAAAAUUUGAACCCGAAAUAUUUAUUUUUUUUUCAAUAUUUCAAAAUAUAUUAUAUAUAAUAAAAAAAAAAUUCGGGUUCGGAUCGGGUUUGGGUUUGGGUCGGGUACAGUCAAAAUUCAUAUCCGAAUUUAUAUUUGUCAGAUUUCUAUUUUUGAUAUCCAUAUAUCUAUUUAGCAUCGGCGAUAUUCGUUUUAUUCGGAUUCGGAUAAAAUUUCGAAUAUCUAUACCUAUUGACAUUCCUAAAUACAAGUGUAGACUUAUACUUUUCCUCAUUUUAUUAUAACUUGUGUCCUUCAAUUAUUUACCACUUAAU
rnacentral:lncRNA from 1 species